GGAAGGAUCAUUACGAAUGCUUAGCUUGCAUGUGCCCAGCAAUGGGUACAAAAAGUUAGUCCUGCAUAGCAUAACCGCUCCGGACGAAUGCAACUCUCAGUUUGCUUGUGAAGUGGGUCCUCGGAUCCACGGAGCUCGUAAAAGUAGGUCGCACUAGUACGUGUUCUGGCAACGGAACACGGAAAAUGAGUCCGUGCAGAGGCUGAGACCUUCGGGUCUUGGAACUGAAAACCUUACUCGUCGACCCGGGCUGUUCGUUUGAAACUUACAGCUCAGCGGUUACUGGUUCGACGAGCUAGGUGUCUGGGACGGGAGUUGACUUCGGUCGACUAACGUACUAGACGGUGUCUUUCAAUAAGGAGACGGCGUCCGCGGCUUGCCGCGUGGCCUGAACUGUACGAUUGGCAUCGGGGUCGGUAAAGUGAAGAGUUUCGUUCGUGAGGACCGUAAGGGACCUCUCGUCGAGAGCUGAUCUUAACCUUCCUUCGAGUCUUGUACUUGAAAAAAUUCCUUGAGUUUUUAAAGAAAAAAAGCAGUACAACUGCAAGCGAUGGAUCACUCGGCUCACAGGUCGAUGAAGAACGGAGCUAGCUCCGAUAAACAGUGUGAAUUGCAGGACACGGCGAACACUGGAUUUUCGAACGCACAUUGCGGCCACGGGUUUUCCCGUGGCCUUAUUUGUCUGAGGGUCGGCAAACUUAUUAACUCUAGUACAGGCUUGUUCGUGAGAACCUUAAGGGAUCUCUCGUCGAGCAUCAGUUUGCCCAAUGGGAGCCGAAGGCUUGAACUUGAAGUCAGCACUGCUUGUCGGUCGUACUUCUUGUCUCUUGCUUCUACGCACUCUAGUGGCCUAGAUUAAUGGUUGCAUAGAUUGUUAGCUUUAACCGGCGAGCAUGUUGUGACCAACCGUAAACUUUUACGGACGACCUCAGAUAAGUAAGAUUACCCGCUUAAUUUAAGCAUAUAAUUCAGCGGAGGAAAAGAAACCAAAAGGGAUUCCCCUAGUAACGGCGAGUGAAAAGGGAACAGCCCAGCGCAAAGGCCUCUAUCCUUAACGGACUGAGUGCGGUGCUGCGUGAAAGCUGGGGCGCUUGCCUCGGGAAGGAUGUCGUGCAAGUUCCUCUGAAUAGGACCUUACCCAUAGCGGGUGGCAGGCCCAUAGCACGUACGGAUUUCUCGAGCUAGCCCCGGUUUGGUAGAGUCAAGUUGCUUGAGAGUGCAGCUUAAAUUAGCAGGUAAACUCCUGCUAAGGCUAAAUAUUCCUGUGAGACCGAUAGCGAACAAGUACCGUGAGGGAAAGUUGCAAAGAACUUUGAAGAGAGAGUUCAAAAGGACGUGAAAUCGCUUGUAGGUAAACGGGUGGAACCACGAAGUCGGACGGGCGCGGAGAUUCAGCUGUUGAACGAGUGUAGCUGGUACUAUGGUGGCCGUAAGGUGCCUGGUGCUAGUGUCGAUGCUUGUUCAGCGGUGCACUUCUUGCAGCGCUCUGAUGAUGCUCUGACCAGUUGAAUGGUUCGUGCAGCCGUAACGAGAACGGUCGGUCAGGUAGCGACAAACGGCUUCGGCUGUGCGUCGUGUUACAGACCGGCUUUCGGAACUAGCGCGAGCGUAUCGACUGGGGAAAAAUCUCCUUCGGGAGUGGCAGAAGGUUUGAGUUGAGUGCGGCUAAGACUAGCGCUUUUACUGCGAUGCUCACGGUGUCUUUUGUCAUCGUACUCGUGGUACGAGUCGGUCUAAUGGUUGUGCUCAUACUUAGGCUGUGCAAUCGAGAGCAAGUAGGUCGGUCAUCCACCCGACCCGUCUUGAAACACGGACCAAGGAGUCUAACAUGUGCGCGAGUCGCUCAGUCUUGAAUAGGCUUGAGAGGCGGAAUGAAAGUAACUCGAGUGAUCCUGUAGGCUUCGGCCGAGAGGCGCAACUCGGACCCGCGUAUUUACCUCUGAGUAUUUCGCGGAGUCGUAGCGUACACGUUGGUACCCGAAAGAUGGUGAACUAUGCCUGGGCAAGACGAAGCCAGAGGAAACUCUGGUGGAGGUCUGUAGCGAUUCUGACGUGCAAAUCGAUCGUCAGACCUGGGUAUAGGGGCGAAAGACUAAUCGAACCAUCUAGUAGCUGGUUCCUUC
rnacentral:misc_RNA from 1 species